rnacentral:tRNA from 1 species
GGGGGGUUGGCGCAGCUGGGAGCGCGUUUGACUGGCAGUCAAAAGGUCACGAGUUCGAUCCUCGUACUCUCCACCA